UGGAUCACCUCCUAACAGGGAGACAACAAAAUGUUUUGAUAUAAAUUUUGUCACCUUAGGUCGAUCGGUACCUCUGAUUUUCAUGAUUGAAAAUUUCGGUUUCUAAGUUUUUUCUAGGUCACCCAUUUUUUCCUGGGCCAUUAGCUCAGGUGGUUAGAGCGCACCCCUGAUAAGGGUGAGGUCCCUGGUUCAAGUCCAGGAUGGCCCAUAUCUCUAUAUUGGGGGUAUAGCUCAGUUGGUAGAGCGCCUGCUUUGCAAGCAGGAUGUCAGCGGUUCGAGUCCGCUUACCUCCACUGAAUACCACCUUUCCAAAGAGAAGGAAUAUAUGGGAUAGAUUUUACUCUGACUGAAUCUAGCUUCCUAUUAUUUAAUUAAUUAUUUAAUAAGAUGCUGGACUCAAUGAAUUUUAAAAUUCUUUGUUUUCAGAGAACCUUGACAACUGCAUAGAUUUUUUUUCAAGACAAUAAGCACCUUUGUAAAGAUGCAGAUUUAUUAUUGGUGCUAAUGCAUUAAUAACAAUUCUAUUGAGCUGAUGCUUCAAUUUUUGAAGUUAUUGGUCAAGCUACAAAGGGCUCACGGAGGAUACCUAGGCACACAGAGGCGAUGAAGG
rnacentral:tRNA from 1 species